GGUAAACAAUAACAUGGUGCACAAACAUAGCAUAAAUUGAUCAUAUGCAAAUAAUGACAUAUUUAAAACAGCGAUAUAAACCAGACAAUAACAAUUCACAAGGUAUUAUGACAGAGCUUGCAGGAGUGUAAACAUUGAUGCACCUAUGCACCCUAAUCUGGCACACAUUUCCUCACUAUUUGACAUAGCAAUAUAGUUACAAAAUAGAAAUAAUACCAAAAAUGAAAUAAAAUAAUAAAAAGGAAAGAUAGAGAACAAAACCAAUAAAGUCUGCUUUGAUCACGAAGGAGUAUGAGAGAAAACCCUGUGGAGUGGUCAGUAACCUAUAGCAGAGCUAUGUAGUGUUUUGGAGAAAUGGAUUUCUGUAACACUGGGAGUCAUCUAAACUCUGCAACAGAGGCCAUUGCAAAAGAUCUUAAAUUUAAGAUAGAUUCACUUGGUCAACAAGGAGCAAGCAAGCUCGAGGCAGGGACAGUUUCAUCCCACAGAUUAAGUAAUAUUAUUGCUCAAACUUAAAUGCAAGAAUGGGAAAAUAGAAUGAAAAAAUGGAAACCAAGAAGUGUGGUCCUCAAGCAAUUUGGGUAGAAUCCAACCCAUGUGUUUUGUCUGUUACAACGGAUUUACGAUGUCGGUGUUGAGCCAGUAGUUCUACCAGGUAGCCCAGAUUUUGGAGUAUUCGUCCCCACGAAUGACAGACGACCAAUGCAAUUCUUCUAGGCCUCUAAAAUUAAAGAGAUGUUUU